rnacentral:ncRNA from 3 species
CAUAAUUUAAAAGCGACUGGGCAUAUAUUGCUACGAGGAAGGAGUAAUUCGGAUAAUCAGCGGGUACUCCUAGGUUCCGUUAUGAACCUUAAGAUUAAUCA